GUGAGGAAUAUUCGUCAAUGGGGGAAACCCUGAACGAGCAACGCCGCGUGGAGGAUGAAGGCUUUCGGGUCGUAAACUCCUUUUCAGGGAGACGAGAAAGGACGGUAUCCCUGGAAUAAGUCACGGCUAACUACGUGCCAGCAGCCGCGGUAAUACGUAGGUGACGAGCGUUAUCCGGAUUUACUGGGCGUAAAGCGCUUGUAGGUGGUUUUGUAAGUUGGACGUUAAAUCUCCAGGCUCAACUUGGAGAGGCCGUUCAAUACUGCAAGACUAGAGGAUGUCAGAGGAAGGUGGAAUUCCAGGUGUAGUAGUGAAAUGCGUAGAUAUCUGGAGGAACACCCAUGGCGAAGGCAGCCUUCUGGGACAUUCCUGACACUGAGAAGCGAAAGCUAGGGGAGCAAACAGGAUUAGAAACCCGAGUAGUCC
rnacentral:rRNA from 1 species